CUUUAAAGAGACUGCCGGUGUUAAGCCGGAGGAAGGUGGGGGAUGACGUCAAGUCCUCAUGGCCUUUAUGCCCAGGGCUACACACGUGCUACAAUGGGCGGUACAAAGAGAAGCAACCUCGCGAGGGUGAGCAAAUCUCAAAAAGCCGUUCUCAGUUCGGAUUGAAGUCUGCAACUCGACUUCAUGAAGUCGGAAUCGCUAGUAAUCGCGGAUCAGCAUGCCGCGGUGAAUACGUUCCCGGGCCUU
rnacentral:rRNA from 1 species